AGCGAACGCUGGCGGCAUGCUUAACACAUGCAAGUCGCACGGUCGGGUUUCGGCCCGGCAGUGGCGGACGGGUGAGUAACGCGUAGGUAUCUAUCCUUGGAUGGGGGACAACCGUGGGAAACUACGGCUAAUACCGCAUGACGACCGAGGUCCAAAGGCCGCGAGGCCGUCUGGGGAGGAGCCUGCGUCCGAUUAGCUAGUUGGUGGGGUAACGGCCUACCAAGGCGGUGAUCGGUAGCUGGCUGAGAGG
rnacentral:rRNA from 1 species